rnacentral:rRNA from 1 species
AACCCGGUUGACCCUGCCGGACCCCACUGCUAUCGGGGUAGGACUAAGACAUGCUAGUUGAGCGCUUCCAGCCAACACGGGAGCGCAGGACAGCUCAGUAACACGUGGCUAAUCUGCCCUUGGGACGGGAAUAACCCUGGGAAACUGGGGCUAAUUCUCGAUAGGUGAAGAACUCUGGAAUGAGUCUUUGCCAAAAAGACGUUUACGUUAUGCUCGUAGGCGUUGCCCAAGGAUGAGGCCGCGACCGAUCAGGUUGUUGGUGAGGUAAUGGCUCACCAAGCCUUUUACCGGUGCGGGCCGUGAGAGCGGGAGCCCGGAGAUGGGCACUGAGACAAGGGCCCAGGCCCUACGGGGCGCAGCAGUCGCGAAAACUUUGCAAUACACGAAAGUGUGACAGGGCUAUCCCGAGUGCCAUCCGCUGAGGAAGGCUUUUACCCAGUCUAGAACGCCGGGGGAAUAAGCGGGGGGA